GCGGGGAUAGUUCAGUUGGGAGAACGUCAGGUAAAUUCACACCUGGUCUCCUUAUCAUUAAUGCACUAGGUAGGUAACUAACAUGCCCAAGACUGAAGUAAUACUUCAUUCAUCAAAUCUGAAGGCCGUGUGUUCGAUCCACACUCACCGCA